UGCUCUGAGGGGGGGGGUCGGCACCACUGAGGUCACUGUUGCAGUGAUUUUAUGAGGUUUAAAGGGUUUUUCCUAAGAUCGAUAUUUAUCACCUGUCGUUAAAAAAGGACCCCUCACCUCUCCUGAUUUGUCUGUUUUGGUAACUACUUGCACCCCCC